UGAUUACACAUCCGGGACAUUUAGGUGGUGCGUGCUUCAACCAGCCAAAACUCUUCUCGCUGACGCCAUUUUAUUUGAAUCGCCACUCGGAGCGACUAAGCGUAUGUGUUUUAACUGCAUACAUUAUUAUACAUUUAUAAUUGGAGAAGUGCAUAAAUUUGUGUAGCGUUGAGGGCACGCUGCGCGCGCUGGAACUUUUCUCACAGACCAUUUGUUUCGACUGACCCUGCAGACGAGGCCAGUGCUCAUUUACUGGAAAUAUAGACGUUCGGGCUGCAGAGCAGAUAAGACGGCCUACGUUACAAAUAAACUGGAAAAAACGCAGAAGGUUAACGUCAUGUUUGUGAAAGUGCCAUUCAAAGACUCCAAGAACUUCAUAAAGUUGCAGAAUGGAUUCACUUUUACAGAUUUCAUAAAUGAAGAUAGUGCUAGCUGCCUUGAAAGAAAAAUCAAAAGUAGAUGAAGUCCUUGAAGAGUACAUGGCCACCGAUACUUUGUUAAAUUAAAUGAGAAGAGCACUUGUUAACAUACUGGUGGGGCACAUGACAGAGAGGCAUGGGAGGAUUCCAACCCAGAAGCAGAGAGAGCAGUAUGCCCUUGGAAUUGUUACUUUGUUUCCAUCAUUGAAAGACCCAUUUUCCAAGAAGGGAUAUACUGGGACAGUGAUUUAUCUACACUGCUUUUACUGGUUCACCUUCUUCCACCAUCUGCUGGGUGAAAAAUGGCUGCAAAAAUAAGUGCCUCUGAUGCAGUUGAGAAACUUGUGGUGUUUCAUAAGUCAUGCUGCAGCAUUGACGAGCACCUGGGGAAAAGCCAAAGUCAUCAACCAUAUCUUAUAGCCAUGGGGAGGAGUCAAGACAUGAUUGACAGCUACUACAUUGCUCUGGAUAACAAGCUUAUCCCUGGUCAGACGGCUGGUUCUCUG